CCUACGGGAGGCAGCAGUGAGGAAUAUUGGUCAAUGGACGAGAGUCUGAACCAGCCAAGUAGCGUGAAGGAUGAAGGUCCUACGGAUUGUAAACUUCUUUUAUAAGGGAAUAAACCCUCCCACGUGUGGGAGCUUGUAUGUACCUUAUGAAUAAGCAUCGGCUAACUCCGUGCCAGCAGCCGCGGUAAUACGGAGGAUGCGAGCGUUAUCCGGAUUUAUUGGGUUUAAAGGGAGCGCAGACGGGUCGUUAAGUCAGCUGUGAAAGUUUGCGGCUCAACCGUAAAAUUGCAGUUGAUACUGGCGACCUUGAGUGCAACAGAGGUAGGCGGAAUUCGUGGUGUAGCGGUGAAAUGCUUAGAUAUCACGAAGAACCCCGAUUGCGAAGGCAGCUUGCUAAACUGUAACUGACGUUCAUGCUCGAAAG
rnacentral:rRNA from 1 species